UCAUUUAAAAAUACAGCUGUCUGCAACAAGGAUUCGAGAGGGAAUGAAGGGGGGGGGGGAGGAGAAGAGGGCUUACCCACCAACACCCUGGCAAACAAGGCUGCUCUGCAUCUGUUGUACCUGUUCCUGUUGCCUUCCUUGCCUCUUGGAAUCAUGUCAAGAGAGAAAAGUCGCCUCAAAGCUGCGGGUCUGCAGCCCUGUGCAGGAAGUUGGCACCGAUCCCAGGCAGCGCAAAAGGCACCCCCAGAUUGCAGUGACGUCAUUUUUUUCCUCUCUUCCAAGUUUCACAAAGAUUGGCUGUGUGUAUGAAUGUCUAUGAAUGGUGCAUUUGUAUAGUAAUGUUGUGACAAAGAAAGUCUAAAGUUUAAAAACAUCCAGGAUAUCAUUGAACUGCUGAAGCUUCAAAGGCAUGACAAAUACUUAAAAUUGUGAGAGAUUUAAUCUUAAAGGACUCAGCAUGAUUUUACAGGUGAGUACAUAUAGCCGAAUCCUGACUCACAGAAUCAAGAGUCUAUUCAAUUUUAAAUUGCAAAUCUAUAGAGGUGGGCUUAUCUUGCAAGUCUGCCAAGAUGGCUUUUACUUUCUACAAUGCACUCCAUUAGUUUGCAACAAAAUUUUGUAUCUUUUUCUAACAAUGAGGGGCAAUGGUAGCAGCUAAACAGUUUUUAG